GGGGAUGUUUUUGGUUUCGACGGGGGUGUGGAAGCCGGAUAAGCGAGUCGCAGUUUGUCCAGUCUGCGUUAAAAAGGACACGUUAAAUACAAACGCUAAAAAGAAUAAUAAUUUCGCAUUAGCUGCGUAGCAGCACGCGCGUUCACCCGGAUUCACCUGCAGAUUCGGUGUUGGACGUCAAACAUGCAGGAAAACCUUAUGUGAAUGCCCGGCAGCAUAAGGGACUAACGGGAUAGCCGAUGGCAAAGCCUGCUUUUGGGCGUUGUCGGAGGCGAACUUCUAAAUCAAAAGCUGCACUCGGAGAAAGUCUUGUGAAAAUGCUUUCGGACGCGGGUUCGAGUCCCGCCAUCUCCACCA
rnacentral:tmRNA from 1 species